CAAUAUAUUAAGAUAACAAUUGAUUUAAUAUUAUACCAUAGGUUCAAAAAGUAUUUCCGACACAAGUGCCUGUGUGUUUGUGUAAGGUUGUGUUACGCGUGUGUGUUUGGGAAAGGGGGGUGCUCUAACUGUUAGCACCCUCUUCACCUCAUCCAUUUUUUUUUUCAUACAUUCUUAAAAAAGUAAAUUAUCUAGACUUAGAUUAUAAGCUCUAUGUCUAUCUUUCAAAAUGUCAACUUGGAUUUGGAUUGUUUUCCGGCUAAAAUUGGUCCAUAGCUUUUAUCAGGAUCGGUUUUGUUUUUAUCGGACGAAACUUUACGUCAUGUUUGACGUCAUCAGCUGUAACAGAAAUUGAAAACACAGUGAAGAAGGAUUUAUCAAGUCUCUGUUAAAACUGGAACUCGGUGUCACAUCUGACUCGCACUUCUGAAAUGGAUCAAAUCGGACUUUGUCGUCGAGACACGGGAAGAACCCAGCUGCCUAAAUUAUAAUGCCAGUGGAACACAAAAAAGAAAAGAUACUUGUAUGCAAGACAUGGAGAAAAGAGCAGACUACAGCCUCUAUAUACCAUUCCUUGCUGCCUCCUUGAAUUGAUGUUUUUCAGGAUAACCAUGCAGGAAUAAAGGUUAACUCAGUAUAAAGUCUUGCUGACAUGAACAUGAUAAUCACAAGAAAGUGAAUAUAUUUCAUCACCUUAAGCAAUCUUCAAAAUACCAGAUUGGAAAAAGAAAGAAGAUUUGUAGCAUUGUAUUGAAUAUGCCUGAUUAAAAUUAUUAAUGGAUGAAUUGGUGUUUUUCUCUUUUCUUCAGAAAAUUUGAAAUCGGAGGCAAUGCUCAGAAUUUUAGAGAUUUUGUUGAAAGAGCUGAUGGAUCCCUUUAUCCUUUUGGAUAUAUUCAAAUUGAAAAGAAAGUGACACCAUGGAUGAAGUCAACAUGCAAGCCUAGCUUUCUGCAGUGCUACAAGGAAAAGUGCAAAAUUGAUGAACUUCUGGUGUACCUUUAGAGAAAUAAUUAUGAUUACAUGUAGUAUCAGUUAAGCUUCUGCUAUGAUGCAAGAACAUGUAUUUUUCUGGAAGAAUAGGAAGGAAAAUUCCAAAAAUAUGCACACAAUUUAUAUGCAUUUUAACGUUAAAUUAGUGUGAAUAAAUUUACGUUAA